GUUUCCAGUAGUGGUCACUCGCAUAGUUGCCAACAUUUGAAAAUCUUUCCAUGGACAUUUUGUGGGAAAGUAGAAACACCGAUACACUCAAAGAGAUAUAAAUUUAGUAGACUUGUUGUUUAAUUUUGUUCUGAACUGUAGUUAGUCUGAAUUUGGCCUGAUCAAAGGUUAAAUGUAGCAGGGUGCCGACACUAAUUAAAAGCGCAAUGGCC